AAUUCUAUAAUGAAACUCAAUAUUUAUUUAUUUUUCAUUUUAGCAUUACCAAAAUUUAUACAAAACCUUGUCCAAUCUUCUGUCACGCUAAACACAAUUAUUGUAAUCUAAUCUUGUUCAAUCACCAAACAUGAGAUAGCACUAAUGGUGCAUUUAUUAAUCGAUAAUUGGAAUGGACUAAAAUCAAAAUAAACUAGAAUAAGAAUAAGUUAAAAUCAUGAUGGGAAAUGAGAAUCAGAAUAAAUUAUUUACUUUAGCUGUAUGAAUUUAAAUUGAAAUUAACUGCAUUGUCAUUAAUGUGUUUACUUUGUAUUAGAAUCAGAACAGAUUGUUAUAAGUUACUAAAACGACCUUAAUGAAUUAUUGUCACAUUUAUUAUAAUAAUUAUGAGUAUGAUUAUUCAAAAUAAUUAUUGUUAAUAAUAAUGACGAUGAUGAUGAAAAUAAUAAUUAUAAUUUUCGACACUAAUAAUAAUGAUGAUUAUUAUUAUUAAAAUUAUUACUAAUUACUACUACUCCUAUUAUUAUUAUUAUUAUUAAAUGUACCUAUCAACCAAAAUUAUGGAUGGUAAAACACUGAGUCUGAGUAGGGUUUUGGUCUGCUAAGGACCGGCCCGAAUUGUUUUAACAAAUGUCCGAACCCAUGUUUAUGUCUGCUUCUUUCACACAUAGGCAGGGUCAAGCUCGGUACACCCUUGUUUACAGGUUAUUUAUUCGGGCUUCAGCUACUCAAAUAAGUUAAUUAAAAAUGUAUAAAUAUAAAUUAAAUUUUAGAUAAAUGAUAAAUAAAAAUUCUUUCAAUCUACUACCUAAAUUCAUUCAAUUUCAAUCCUAAAUUCAUUCAUUCAUUCAUUCACUCUUUGUCAGAAAUUUAAAUAAGCAGCAUAAAAAUCACAUUGACAAAUAAAUCUAAACAACGUGUCAUCUAAAUUCUAACAUAUCACAAGUUUAUAAUUGCAAUACCAAUUGCCAAUAUAACAUAUGGGAAUCCCAAAAUGUCUAACAACUAAUGACAGACUGUGAUGUGGAGGUGUGGAUGCUGAGAAGGUGGUUGCUGCACGAACAUGGUUGUGAUGUAAAGGUCCAGGGCAUGGUGCUAGAGGUACGGUGCUAGACAACUGGAGGUGCAUUGGUGUAGUGCAUUAUGGGUUGUGGUUGCUGGGCAUUGUCUUGGAGAGUUAGAGGUGGGUGGGGGUGGCGACUUAUGUGUUUUACUAAAGUUUUGGUUUUGUAAACAGGUAGUGUAUUAUUUAUGUUUCUUUAUUUUAGGUUUAUUUUAUUUUUUAAAUUUAUUUAAUAAAAAUUAAAAAAAUUUACUAGGCAUAGAUCUGAGUUCCUUUUUUUGGUUUAUGCUCAAACUCGUGCGCAAGAAGAGUUCAAUACCCAGAAUCAAAUUAUUUAUUAACACCGUGGUCCGAACCGAGCCGAGCGAGUUUUCUUGCCACUUUUAACCAAAACUUAUACAUUUAUACUGUUGAAAUUCUACUUUUAUAAAUAUAUAUGU
rnacentral:lncRNA from 1 species